AUUUACUUCGUUGUCUUUUAAUUUAUUACUUCUGAAUCCUUAUAUGAAUUUGCAGUAACAUGAUAUGACUUGCGUUUUCAACUAAGAUUUAGGCACACGUGCAAUAAGCUUUAACUAGAUAUGUUCAGUAAUAAGUGGGUAGCUCCAUGUUAGUUGGUUUCUUGGCGAUUUACUUUUUUUAUUCAUUCAUGUGCCACAAACAUCAUCACAGUUCCUUGACCAAAUUACACGCUUAUAGGAUGUGUGGAUAAGUUAGAGCAAAUAAAUUGAGGAACGUCAGCGCUGGCUGCUAGAAAUUCCUGUUGUACACUUUGAUCCCAAUUUGGAUUUAUUAUUUGAGUCUUGUGAAGAUGUUGGAAAGUUACAUGACUAUAAACAAGGAAUGGUGCACUUUUGGUCCCUUGCAGUUCUCAUUUUCUCUCUCAAUCGAUAUCUCAUGGUAACGGAUUUCUCUACUCAAAAGUUGCCCACGAGUUAUCUCUUGAAUCUAGGUCAACCACUCCCACGGGUAACAACUCCUGGAAGUAAAACUAGAGAUAGAAAAGUCCAACUAAUACAUAAAGUGGGUUUAAUUUGUCUAUGGAUGCAAGAUGAUUAACCAGAAGUAGAACUAGAGAUAAAAAAAGCCAAAUAAUGCAUAAAGUGGGUUUAAUUUGUUUAUGGAUGCAAGAUGAUUAACCAGUUGAAGCAACAAUUGAUUUUUUUAAGGUUUUUCCUUAGUAUAAUAUUUUUAUUUAGCUAUUUUGAAA